CUUGGAGUGACCUGGCAGCGUGAGUGAUUCUCCGGAGCAGCAAGAGGAAGUCAGUAUGGAGGCAGCACCCUGUCCCCACCACCCAGCUCUGUGAGGGGGCCUCGACCUCCGCUCUGCCUGCCUGGGGCUCUGUCCUGUCGCCGCCCAGUCUGGAGUCUUGAUUUCCCACCAGAGUGUGUGGAGGGGCCUUUUCUGCUGACCCACCCGGACCCACCUCACAGAUGGUCUGGCCCUCAGAGGUGGAGCUGGAUUCAGUUCCAGCUCAGUUCUUAUGGACACACGCUAAAAUUCUGGCUCGCUUCUAGUGUUGGACAACCUGGGCCUCAGCUUCUUCACUUGUAAAAUGAGGAGGUGAAAAUGUGUAAAUUUUCUUUCAGCCCUGAAUUCCAAGACCAUGUCGUGCUUCUCUUUUAAAUAAAGAAAAAACCCGUGCCUUCCA